rnacentral:misc_RNA from 1 species
UAAAAAAUAGCUAGAUUCUGAAGAAGAAAACUUUACUUCAGCAAGAAAGUAGGGUUUACUAGUGCACUGCCAAAACCCUAGUCCACGCUCUCUUUAUCUCUGUAACCAUAUUCUACGCACCUUCGAUUCUAGCUAACCCUAAGAGGGUUCAUGUAAUGGCUGGUGCCCGAGAAAUCACCACUGCAUCUCAAUUUUUGCAGGGUACCUCUAGGCAAACUCUGUUUUUACUGAGAGAUUUGCCUAUUAAUCGGCGAAAGCAGCUGCUAUGUGGCACACUUCGUAAUCGUAAGCCUCCUCUGGGUGUAUCUAACGGAAGAUGUGUAUCAUUGAGGUGCUGUGCUCAAUCAAAGCCUACAGCUGUUGUUUCUGGUGGUGUGACAAGCUCUGUUGAUGAACAAUCUAGUUUGAUUGAGAAGCCUGCACAAGAAAUUGUCCAUUUUUAUCGCUUGCCAUUAAUUCAAGAGAGUGCAACUCUUGAAUUGCUCAAGUUGGUUCAAACAAAAGUUUCGAAUGAGAUUGUUGGGCUACAAACUGAGCAGUGUUUUAAUAUUGGUCUUCAAUCUGAGAUUUCGGAUGAGAAGCUUGGAGUACUUAGGUGGCUUCUUCAGGAAACGUAUGAGCCAGAGAAUUUGGGGACUGAGAGCUUUCUUGAGAAGAAGAGGAAAGAAGGAUUGAAUACUGUUGUAGUUGAGGUUGGGCCUAGGUUGUCUUUUACAACAGCUUGGUCUGCAAAUGCCGUGUCAAUUUGUUGUGCUUGUGGGUUAACAGAAGUGACUCGAAUGGAACGGUCGAGGAGGUACUUGCUCUAUAGUAAGGGAGUGUUGCAAGAAGAUCAACUUAAUGAGUUUGCUGCCUUGGUUCAUGAUCGGAUGACUGAAUGUGUUUAUACUCAGAGGCUGACAUCUUUUGAGACUAAUGUGGUUCCUGAGGAAGUACGAUACGUGCCUGUUAUAGAGAAGGGUAGGAAAGCUUUGGAAGAGAUUAAUCAGGAGAUGGGAUUAGCUUUUGAUGAGCAAGAUUUGCAGUAUUACACUAGGCUGUUCAAGGAUGAUAUCAAACGGAAUCCAACAACAGUGGAAUUGUUUGACAUUGCUCAAUCCAACAGUGAGCAUAGUAGGCACUGGUUUUUUACUGGGAAGAUUGUUAUUGAUGGACAGCCCAUGGAUAGAACUCUUAUGCAGAUUGUGAAGAGCACCUUGCAGGCUAAUCCAAACAAUUCUGUAAUUGGCUUCAAGGAUAAUUCUAGUGCAAUCAAGGGUUUCCCUGUAAAGCAGUUGCGACCAGUUCAGCCUGGUUUGACAUGUCCACUGAAUGCAACUACUCGUGACCUUGAUAUUUUAUUUACAGCUGAAACCCAUAAUUUCCCUUGCGCUGUGGCUCCUUAUCCUGGGGCAGAGACUGGUGCUGGCGGUAGAAUUAGGGAUACCCACGCAACAGGUAGGGGUUCAUUUGUUAUUGCAGCUACAGCUGGUUACUGCGUUGGGAAUCUGAAUAUAGAGGGUUCUUUUGCUCCAUGGGAGGAUCAUUCUUUCUCAUAUCCAUCAAACUUGGCAUCUCCUUUGCAGAUUCUUAUUGAUGCCAGUAAUGGGGCAUCAGACUAUGGAAACAAAUUCGGGGAGCCCUUAAUUCAGGGGUAUACUAGAACUUUUGGAAUGAGACUUCCAAGUGGAGAAAGGCGAGAAUGGUUGAAGCCCAUAAUGUUCAGUGGGGGAAUUGGGCAGAUUGAUCAUAUGCAUAUAACAAAAGGAGAGCCUGACCUUGGUAUGUUGGUUGUGAAGAUUGGAGGUCCUGCAUAUCGUAUUGGAAUGGGAGGUGGGGCCGCAUCAAGUAUGGUGAGUGGCCAGAAUGAUGCAGAGCUUGAUUUUAAUGCUGUACAACGUGGAGAUGCUGAGAUGGCUCAAAAACUCUAUCGAGUUGUUCGUGCCUGCAUUGAAAUGGGGGAGAAUAAUCCAAUUAUCAGCAUCCAUGAUCAGGGAGCAGGUGGUAACUGUAAUGUUGUCAAGGAGAUUAUAUAUCCAAAGGGCGCUGUGAUUGACAUCCGGGCAAUUGUUGUUGGUGAUCAUACGAUGUCUGUUUUGGAGAUAUGGGGCGCAGAAUAUCAGGAACAAGAUGCAAUCUUGGUAAAGCCUGAGAGCCGCGAUCUUUUACAAUCAAUCUGUGAAAGAGAAAGGGUGUCAAUGGCUGUUAUUGGGACGAUCAAUGGUGAGGGACGUGUUGUUUUGGUUGAUAGCUUAGCUAAUGAGAAGUGCCAUUCAAGUGGACACCCUACUCCUCCUCCUGCUGUGGAUCUUGAGCUGGAGCAAGUACUCGGGGACAUGCCUCAGAAGACCUUUGAGUUUCACCACGUGGUUCAUGCACGAGAGCCACUUGAUAUUGCCCCAGGGAUCACUGUGAUGGAGGCUUUGAAGAGGGUAUUAAGACUUCCUUCUGUGUGUUCAAAACGCUUCUUGACAACAAAAGUGGAUAGAUGUGUUACAGGUCUUGUGGCACAGCAGCAAACUGUUGGUCCUUUGCAGAUUACUCUUGCUGAUGUUGCUGUCAUUGCUCAGACUUACACUGACUUGACUGGAGGUGCAUGUGCAAUUGGAGAGCAGCCAAUCAAAGGUCUGGUUAAUCCAAAGGCAAUGGCUAGAUUAGCUGUUGGAGAAGCACUCACAAAUCUAGUUUGGGCUAAGGUUACUUCUCUUUCUGAUGUUAAAGCAAGUGGGAAUUGGAUGUAUGCUGCCAAGCUUGAUGGGGAGGGGGCAGACAUGUAUGAUGCUGCAAAAGCUCUAUCUGAAGCUAUGAUUGAACUUGGUAUUGCAAUUGAUGGGGGAAAGGAUAGUCUGUCAAUGGCAGCCCAUGCAGCUGGUGAGGUUGUUAAGGCUCCGGGUAAUCUUGUUAUAAGUGUGUAUGUCACUUGUCCUGACAUCACAAAAACAGUUACUCCAGAUUUGAAAUUGGGAGAUGAUGGUUUGUUGCUUCACAUUGAUAUGGCAAAAGGAAAGCGGCGGUUAGGUGCCUCUGCUCUUGCUCAAGCUUUUGACCAAGUUGGGGAUGACUGUCCUGAUCUUGAGGAUGUUCCUUACCUCAAAAGAGUUUUUGAGUGUAUCCAGGAUCUUAUUGCAGAUGAACUCAUCUCUUCUGGACAUGAUAUUAGUGAUGGUGGACUACUUGUCUGUGCCAUGGAGAUGGCAUUUGCUGGGAAUUGUGGUAUUGCUUUGGACUUAACUUCACAAGGGAAUGGUCUCUUCCAGACACUCUUUGCUGAAGAGCUUGGUCUUGUUGUUGAGAUUAGCACAAAGAACUUGGAUACUGUAAUGCAAAAGCUCACUAGUGUAGGAGUUUCUGCUGAUAUUAUUGGACAAGUGACUGCCUCACCAGUGAUAGAACUGAAAGUUGAUUCGGUAACUCAUUUGAAUGAGAAGACUUCUCUCCUUAGAGAUGUGUGGGAAGAAACUAGUUUUCAUCUGGAAAAGUUCCAAAGACUGGCUUCUUGUGUGGACAUGGAGAACGAAGGUUUGAAGUCUAGGCAUGAACCUUACUGGAAGCUAUCUUUUAUUCCUUCCUUUACUGAUGAGAAAUAUAUGACUGCAACUUUGAAACCAAAAGUGGCUGUGAUUCGAGAGGAAGGCAGCAAUGGAGACAGAGAGAUGGCUGCAGCACUUUAUGCUGCUGGUUUUGAACCCUGGGAUGUUACAAUGUCAGACCUCUUGAAUGGAGCUAUCUCUCUUCAUGAAUUCCAUGGGAUUGUGUUUGUGGGGGGUUUUAGUUAUGCUGAUGUCCUUGAUUCUGCAAAAGGUUGGUCUGCUUCCAUACGAUUCAAUCAACCCCUUCUAAAUCAAUUUCAGGAGUUCUACAAGCGGCCUGACACUUUCAGUCUUGGUGUUUGCAAUGGCUGUCAGCUCAUGGCUCUACUGGGUUGGGUCCCAGGCCCCCAGGUUGGGGGUGUGCUUGGUGCUGGAGGUGACCCAUCACAACCAAGGUUCAUUCACAAUGAAUCUGGUCGAUUUGAAUGCCGCUUUACAAGUGUGACAAUAAAGGAUUCGCCUGCUAUAAUGUUCAAAGGGAUGGAAGGUAGUACAUUAGGGGUGUGGGCUGCCCAUGGCGAGGGAAGAGCAUAUUUCCCUGAUGAUGGUGUUCUUGAUCGUGUGAUUCAUUCAAACUUGGCCCCAGUUAGAUACUGCGAUGAUGAUGGGAAUCCUACAGAAGCUUACCCUUUCAAUGUGAAUGGCUCUCCCUUAGGAGUAGCAGCAAUUUGUUCUCCUGAUGGGAGGCAUCUUGCCAUGAUGCCUCAUCCAGAACGUUGCUUCUUGAUGUGGCAAUUCCCAUGGUACCCCUUGAACUGGAAUGUGGACAAAAAAGGUCCUAGCCCAUGGUUAAAGAUGUUCCAAAAUGCCAGAGAAUGGUGCUUAUGAGACAGUUUGUCAAAUUGUUGGAGAGAUAUGGAUCAUCAUUUUGAAGGGAUGUAGAAUUUUUUGAAGUCAAGAGGUGUUUUGGAUCACAAAUCAUUAUCCAUAGUUCCUCCAGCAUCAAAUUAAGCUUAUUUUUCUGUGCCAAAAAUACACACCAAGGUUUCAAUGGACACAGGUGUUGAAAGUUUUGAGUUUCAUGUUGUUCCCUUCAAUAUGUUUAUGGUUUCUCUUUCAUUUGUAUUGAACUACAUGAAUAAUACAAAAUUUUAGUUGUUAUAAAUAGAUUCCUUCUGCUGUUCUUUUUGAUGGUUGGGUAGCAUGAAGAACUAGCCAGUUUCUUGAAGAUGUUUUCUGUUUAAUAAGCAUGGCAUAAACUGUUCCAUGUAUGCAAUUCAUGUUAUAAAAAGCCAAGUUGGAGUAGUCAAGGAAAUUAUCCAUCUUGCAACUGACUAUUGAAUGA